GGGUAAGUGUGGGCCAGAGGCUGGGGUACUGCGAAGGGGGUUAGGGGUGCGCGGAUUGGCUGGGCGUAAAGGGCGCGUAGGCGGUUUGCACAGUCAGGCGUGAAAUUCCUGGGCUCAACCUGGGGGCUGCGUUUGAGACGUGUAGACUUGAGUGCGGAAGAGGGUCGUGGAAUUCCCAGUGUAGAGGUGAAAUUCGUAGAUAUUGGGAAGAACACCGGUGGCGAAGGCGGCGACCUGGUCCGAUACUGACGCUGAGGCGCGAAAGCGUGGGGAGCAAACAGGAUUAGAUACCCUUGUAGC
rnacentral:rRNA from 1 species